rnacentral:tRNA from 1 species
AUCUAUUUAAUAUAAAAAGUAUAUUUGAUUUCCAAUCAUAAAGUUUAUUAAUAAAUAACAUAGAUA